UUCCUAACGAAGUUAUAUCCAGUAUCAAUCGGAUUAUUAACGUAAAUUAAGUUAAGAGAAAUACUCCAGGAAUACUUACGCGCUGCAAGCGUUGUUAAAAUUAUGCCUUGUCUAGAUAAAGCACCGACUGGCGAUUUGAAGUUAUCCGCAGUACCCAUCUUAUUUCCCUAGAUUCUAGAGAGGUUACUUAAACGACAACAUUGUUGCAUAAUCCCAGGGGCAUAUUCGUUAUUUCCUACGAAUCAAGUAACGACCAGCGUCUUCAUAAAGUGCAGCAUUUCUGUAUAUCCUCAUAGAUUUGUCGUCAAUCCUAGAACGUAUUUAGGUGGCCUCCGAGCGUCAGGCGUAACGUCAUAGUGUCCGCAUAAGCAAAUAAAUUUGUUUUUACCUAA